rnacentral:lncRNA from 1 species
UAACUAUACAAUUAUUUUUUCCUGAUAGGACCAACAUUAGCUGUGGCUUCACUCUAAGGUAAUACACAAUUAAGAGCAUCAAAUAAGAUUAACUAGGUGCGUGUCCUUUGUUUAAUUGCUACAAUAACAUCCAUUAACACCUUCAUCAAUUACACGCACAGAAUAUACAAUUAUUGUACCGAAUAGUGAACACCUGUUGAAAACUCAAGAUUGUCAUCAGUUUCCUUUAAUCUUCAAUCUAUAUGCAUAAACAUGAUAAAU